UUACGGCCAUAUCACGUUGAAACAUUAGCUCCCGUAUUAUCGCCGAAGUUAAGCAACGUCAUGCCUGGUCAGUACCCUGAUAGGUGACCACUCGGGAAUACCAAA